ensembl:lncRNA
GUUCCAGUUCCAGGCAGAAGCCAGAGGAAUGUGGCACCUGCUAUGCUGAGACCUUUUCAUGUGAAGUUUGUUGAUGCUUGUGUAGAACUCUUUUCUCUGUGAUAUGAAUCAAACAGUAGGAUCUCAGAUAUUGCUCAAGAGUUCAUCUGAAAAAGAGUCUAAGAGAGACAUGAUAUGAGAUGGAAAAAAAUGUUGACAGACCUUAAACAUGAAAUGAGAGAUGCAUCUGAACAUCAGAAACUUCCAGGAACUUCAUCAGACUUCACCAGAAAAAUACUGAUGGGGACAGACUGGAAAAACACAGGCAGCUUCCAGGUAAGCAGCACUGGUGCUUUUGAACUGUGGUGUUGGAGAAGACUCCCAUGGAUUGCAAGGAGAUCAACCAGUCAAUCCUAAAGGAAAUCAGUCCUGAAUAUUCAUAGGAAGGACUGAUGCUGAAGCUCCAAUAUUUUGGCCAACUGAUGAGAAGAACUGACUCACUGGAAAAGACCCUGAUGCUGGCAAAGAUUGAAGGCUGGAGAAGAAGGGGAUGAAAGAGGAUGAGAUGAUUGGAUGGCAUUACC